AAAAACCCGGGGUCAGAUCCGAAAAUUGGACACGGCCUCUGCCGUAGCGGCCGCUACGGCAGAGGCCGUGUCCAAUUUUCGGAUCUGACCCCGGAUUUAU
rnacentral:sRNA from 1 species